CCUACGGGUGGCAGCAGGGAGGAAUAGUGGUCAAUGGGCGGAAGCCUGAACCAGCCAAGUAGCGUGCAGGAUGACGGCCCUACGGGUGGUAAACUGCUUUUAUACGGGAAUAACGCGCCGUACGUGUAGGGCUUUGCAUGUACCGUAUGAAUAAGGACCGGCUAAUUCCGUGCCAGCAGCCGCGGUAAUACGGAAGGUCCGGGCGUUAUCCGGAUUUAUUGGGGUUAAAGGGAGCGUAGGCCGCAUGUCAAGCGGGCUGUGAAAUGUCCGGGCUCACCCCGGGCCUGGCAGCGCGAACUGGCGUGCUUGAGUCCGCGUCAAGCAGGCGGCAUUCGUCGUGUAGCGGU
rnacentral:rRNA from 1 species